GAAGGAUCUCUACCUGGAGUUCCUUCCUUUUGGAGUAUUUGGCAAGCCCUGAUUCUGGGGGGAGUGGCUCUCAAAGCAGAUUAAAAUAAUAAUAAAUGAAAAUGCAAGUGAGGAAACCAAUGUCCAGCCUGCUGAACCACACCGCCUCCUUAAACCACAGUGAGAUGAGAGCUGCUGGUGAAGUACCCUUUAAAUCUAUGUAGGAAUCAUAACAGAAAACAAACAGGGGGCAUGCUUUUAUCUGAUUGACUCCUUCUGAAGUUGUGCAAGGUGUCUAUACUCCCACAGUUAUUGUGGUGUGCAAGAUCUUUCAUUAAAUGUUCUGUUUUGGCAAUGAACUGUACUAGCACAUGUUUGUACUUUAGAUGGGCGAGGAUAUAAACAAGUGGAUGGGGAUGCACUGAGAAAAUGUACCACUGGCUUGUUCCAGAGGUUGUUGAGACUUUUUUCAGCAUAUAUAUAGCUAGGAAUCAACAGAGUAACGCACACAUAUUCAUCCCUACCUCAAACAAAAUGCCUGGCCCUAUUCCAUAUUUGUUAUUUGUUACUGUGUCCAUUUAGCCUGUAGGAAAGAUCUCUUCGUAUGAAGAUUAGUUAUGCUGAAGACAACAGACCAUCUACUACAAAACUGCAGCAGUUUUUUUGCUAUGCCAACAGUGUGUAACACCAUGGGCUGCCAAGAUGAAAACAGGUAAAUCCUGAUCCAACAAAAAGGGACAAGGCAGGGUUGGUGCCUGGUAUUCACAGCCUAUGAGGACUAUUGAAGACUAGGAAACCUGAUGUGAAAGUUACACUUAACCUUAUAUUUAUUCUAUUCUUCACAAGAACCAUGCCAAAAAAAAAGGGAAGAAGUUUGAAGGACUAUUUCAAUUCAAGCUUUUUGUCAUGCAAAAUGAAUACACUCAGUAGUAACAUGACUUAUUUAUGUACCUGCAGGGUAUUCCUUGGAAAUUACAUAGCAACUUAUGAAAGCAAUGGGAACAUUACUAAUAUAACACCAUGUCAUCUCCUGAUAUCAAUGUAAAUGCCUCGGAUCAUCACAGUGUUUGAUAACAUCACAAAGAUAAAUGUUUCAUCCAUGCAUAAUUCCAACAAUGGAGGAUGAAUGUAGCAGCAAGAUGAUUUGCAUUCCUGCAAGUGUACCAAAGCUGAGAAGAUAUAACUGACAUAAAAAUGUGGCACAAGUAUUUUAAAGAAGCACUGAAAGACAACAUCUGUUUCUGUGGGGUAAGACUGAAGUAAGUGUGUCCAACCAUGCCAAAGAGAAAAAGCCAGACUUGCUCUAUAGUUUUCAAAACCUACUGGGGGGGAAGAAGGAUUAGGGUCUGAUUUCUAAUCAGCAAUGAAUUAAUUACUACUUUGUUACUGAGUACAAGUAAAGCUUUAGGCAGAGCAAAUCUGAUAUGGCCGUGCACAGGUGGUCUGCUGGUCAUAAAGACUGAGUAUCAUUAUAAAAGUUAAAUCAAAAUGGAUGUGUAUGAGAAAUUUUGAGCAAGUACACUCUCACCCUUCUAUGUUCCUCAAUACAUCAGAUCUAUAUGAACUGUCUCUUAUAACUCUCUUGACCUUUCACUGCUAUCAAUGGCCUUGUUCACAGGACUUUUAUGGCUUUUUUUGGUAUCUUUCUGUGCCCAUUGCCACAUCCAGGUGCAGAAGGUGAAGCAGCUCCAGAUUCACCACAGCUUGUUCCUGCAUUCUCCAUCUUCGUAGCUCCAUACUGGUUAUCACUAAGAAGUCCAUCCCCAUGCACUCUACACCAGGUAAUUCUUGCUCUCAUUACAGUUUAAAUUGUGUGUUUACUCUGCGACCUCUGCAAGAGACUUGUUAAAUUCAACUAACAGCAGCUCUUUGGCAGUUCAAAAGCUUGUUUCAGGUAUCUACACCAAGCCCAGUUAACAGAACCCUGGGCUUUUUAUGGGUUGCCUUCAAAAGCCCUGAGAUACCACUAAUGAUACCGGCAAAUUUAUGAUGAAAAACCAAUAGGAAAACAAGUAGCAGUGCUAAACAUUAAAUAUGAGAAACAUAGGUGUAUGAAGCAGUUAAAUCCCUUGCUACCUGUACUGCAGACACAGAUGGGACUCUGGAUUAAGGAAGAGGUAAUGAUAAACUAAAAGAAAGGGAAUCAAACAGUGAAAAUGCUGAUAAAUGAAGGCUAUGUACUAGAGCUAAUGCUUUCAGCAAUGUUUGUCUACAGCACGGCGUUCAGGGAAAGCGCAUUAGCAUCCCAAGCCAAAUGCGAAGCCCAGUUCAACCAAACAGCUUGAUAUAAAUUUUAUGUUUCUGUAUUGAACGUUCAGAAGCUGGUAAGUCUGUGAGGUGUGGAAGCUGUCUGCAUGCUAAAUUUCCGUCUAGAGAAAAUUUCCCCAGACUGAGGUUUCAAGCACAAAUUCAACAUGAGUUUUCCGUUAAUACCGCUAAAAAAUUCUGCAGAUGUUUCAGGAUGAUGUUAUUGUUUAUGAAAAAGGAGUGAAAAUAAUUAAUGUAGAUGCAGAAAAAGUAACUUUGUUUACAAUUCUUUAGAAACUGGGGGAUUUUAUGGUAAAAAGGGGGUUAUUUUGGGAUCAAGGCAUGAAUUUUUCAACCCCGUGAAGAAUCAGUGUCUGAGACACCACCACAAGACCACAAUAAAAGAUGUGAGGGAACAAUGAUUGAAAAGAGUUUGCAAUAUUUACCCAAUCCUACAUGAAAGUCAUUUUAUUUUCAGUCGAAGGCCUCAGUCCAGAGAACUGUUCUGCAUGGGCAGCGCUGUGCUUCACCCAUGCAAUACAAUUUUCAGGAUCAAAGGUUUCAGAGAAUUCUCAUGUCAGCCCGUAGGCGUCACCUGAAAAGUUUUGUACCUUUCAGGCAGUGGAAAUUAAAGUUCUCAGAGUGUAUCUGAAAACUGUGAAUCCCCAUGACUUUCAAUGGCAGCUCAAGAGACUCCUGGCAAGCUCCCUGCCUCCUUUGUGUGCCUCUAUGCUAUGCAUGCCAAGAUUGCAUUGGGCCUGUCCCUGGAAUAGGACCAAAGAGAUGAUUUAUCUGGAGGGAUGAACUUAUUUCAGUUGGAUCAACUGUCCAGUCUGGCUCUUGCCAGCUCUGCUGACAGUGGUGGCGGCACAGAGUAGGAAGAGCAAACAGCACCUGCUAACAUUGAUUUCAGCAUCUCUACCACAUAAUGUAAGACCAAUGCAAAGCACUUAAUUUCAUUCUUGUGAUCAGGUUAUUUCCUACCAGGCUACUCCUGCUCAACAACCCUAUGGUGUAUGAUGAAUAUACUCACCGCCAGCAAGAGCUUCCUCUCUUGUGCUGUCAUCAUCACUAGGCUGAAGAAUAUUCCAGGAUGUCAAAGUAAGUGAAGAAAUGUCUUCAGCUGAUGACAACUUCAGCAUGUCCAUGUGAUUGCUGUGAGGUUUGUAACGUGGGAUGAAACACUCUUUGCCUUGCUUAAAAAUGUCCUUAAUGAUUUCUUCUGUCUGGAUUUCAUCUGGCAUGUUUAGAAAGAUCGCAAUUCUUUUGGAUUCUUGGUACUUGGAAUGCCCAAUCACCUAUAAAGGAAACUGCCAUCAUCAGUUCAGGAGAAGUUCACAAAAAGACUGACUUGAAAGUAAAAACACCAUUGGAGGGAAAUACCCAUUGGAAAAAGUAAGAAUACAAAUUAACAUAAAGAGAAUAAAAUGACCGUUUCUUGUUCCAACAUUUCUACCAUCAGUAAAAUCAAAAUAGGUGAGUUUUUGUACCCAGAUAAAAGUAAAAUGGGUUGAGACCAUCAAAAAAUGAUUUUGGAGCCAGUCCAGAUCCUUUAAAUUCUUAUGCCAUACAACACCAGUAUCCUCAAAUACCCAGCAUCACUGGGUACUGACACAGCAGGUCAGAACUCCCAGCUUAUUCAGUAUGUGAGGUUUCUGCUUUCCUUUUAUUCCAUCUUUUUUGCAUGCUGUGCUUCACAACUGGACCUGGGCACGAUGAGAAGCUCAUUGAUUGCAGUAACCCAAAAGAAAAUGUGCAUCAGAGCAGCUGACUGCAGAGCUCAAAGCCUUACAAGGUUGGGCCCUUCUCUUGUUAAUCUGGAAUGCCUUUCUAAAAGCAAAUUUAAAUAUACAGCUACAAACAUCACCUGCUUGUGAUGAGUGAUCUUAUUACUGCAUGUUUUUCAGAGGUUGAAGGAAAGAUGGCCUUGCUGGCUUUUUGAUUUUCAGGUGGUUGUCUGUGCUGGGUUUAGGAAAGAUUGAAUGUAGGAAGGAAAAUAAAAAGCAAUGAAUACAGGGGAAGUGUUAACAGAUUCACACCUCACUGCAUUUCUGCCCAACUCCAGAUUAAAUCCCAUAUCAAAAUCUGUGAGAUAUUUUUAAGGCUUGUCUUCUUCUUUUCCAGUAUCUUACAAAACAAACGCAAACGGGUUCCUUGAGUUAAAUGUGAAUUCUACAUGCUUCCAAAAAUCCAUCAAGAAUAUCUGGUAGUUGAGAAACAGCGCUUAUCUGCAAUACAGGGAACAGCAAAUCCUCUGUGUUUGCCUAACUGCAGGGUAACUGCCCUUCUGAACUUUAGCCCUUGCCCUUUUUUGAGAGAGAGACUCUAAUAUCCGAGUUCAAAAUUGGUUUUCAGUCCUUAUUCUUUCUUUCUAGCACCCCCAUCUAUACCCAGAUGAAGAAUCAAAAGACUGAUAUAUUUUUGUAAGGUAAGAUAUGAGAUACUCCAGUCCAAAUUAUGGUUAUGCUCUGCUUGGCAAUGGAAGCACCUAGCAAUUCAAAAGUGUAUUGUAUUUCUCUUUGUCACUUACCCAACCUUACCCAUGGAUUUUUUCCUACUAAGUGAUUAAGCUCUUAAAACAACAGAAUUUCCAUGGUAGCCUUUGUAUGAAAGAACAGAGUACUGAGCCAAAUUGCAGGCUCCAAACAGUGAUGUUACUCGUGUUACUGAGGGGCUACUGCACCUUCUCUUUGGUUCAGAAAACAGAGGAAAACCACACAGCACUCCUCUUUCAAAGUGGUGCUGUGGGCACCAUACAGGCCAAAUAUGUUCUGACAUGUCCAACAACGCACUGAUUCUACAGUACAGAAAGAAACGAGGUUGGAGAUGUAAAACCACAAGCUACCAGGAAGGCAAAAUUUCUCAUGUUUUCAGAAAUGUGAAGAUGAAGCUGCUCUGAGCCAUUUCUGAGAAGAGUGAAAAAAAUUUCCACGCUUGAAAAUAUUAUGUGCCCUUUGCUCACCUGCUGAUGGCUAUUACUGCAGAAUCAGAGCAUGCAAACAGCAGGACUUCAAUCAUGAAUGUGCACAUUAAAAAAGAAUAGUCAUCCAGAAGCUAAUUAAACACCGGUGGCUAGGCCAGCUAGCGUAGCAAUUUCAGUUUGAACUUAAAGAUCAUUCUGAGAUGAGAUUUUUGCUUUGAAAAAUAUUGUUCAGGUGCUAUAAAAUAACGUGCUCGCUUUUAUUAGCUGCCAUUUCUGAUAUAUAUUAUAAGGCUGCGCUUUCAGCCUCACACUGUUCCAAGUGUUUUCUCAGCACUUUCAGAAACUUAGUGUCUAUAUGGGAAACUUAGUGUCUAUAUGGCAUUGCUUUCCCAUGAGGAAGUUGACUGCUUUCUGUCAUUGCAAGUUGCUAUCCUGUCUGAAGCUCAAGACUUUCAACUUGUGGCAUAUUAACAAAAUGCCAAGGUAGCAUGAAAUUGUCAUGUUUUCCCCAGCCUUCAUUUAAUUAAAGCAAAAGCUUUACUUUUUGGCAUGCUCUCACUGCCAGGAGUAAGCGUGGUGUUGCUGUGUGUACCAGCUGCAGUCAGAUCAAGGCUGAGGGCUCCAAAUGUUCUGUACUACCUGGGCUGCUGUGCCAGGACAUGGGUGAGGUGAGCCCUGCCUGGUAGCUUUAACGUAGUAAAAUUAUAUUAGAAAUAAAACAGCAUGGAAGAAACACACUGAAAGGCACGAACGGGAAACGGCAGCCAAAAGGCCACGAUGAGUCAGUCGCAAAGUUUUUAGAUGUGUUUUGCUGGCUGCAUAGUGAAAGCGAUGUGACAAAUGAGAGAUGAACACCCACCGCACCACCCCGCUGCUCCGGGCUCACCACCCGAUUAAAGGCCCCCUUCAAUGCCGUCCCACAGCCGCCAGGCCGGAGGGAGGGAGGAGCUCGU